AGUAGACUCUGGUAUGCCAACUAUCAAUUCAAGUUUCCCUUAAAUCGUGGCCAAAUCAAAGGACUAGCUGGCGAUUGUUAUUAAUUUCAAUAGGUGGCGCUACCUUACCAAGGGACGUCAAUUUUUGGCAUUUGUUACAAUUUUAGGUUAACACCAUUUGACACAUUAAACUUAAUACGUAUAAUAAAUAAGUAUUUAUUUAUUCAUUAUUUAUUUUAAAAAUGUGUGUCAGUUUUGGAAUAACGUUUCUGGGACACUGAUUUUGCGUCAACAUAUUUUUUGUUUUUUUUUUCUGCCAGGUUGCGCAGUGCGCAGUCGUAUUUAAUGGUCGUCCAUAAACUAAUUGGUGUGUGCAGCUGUGCAGUUAGGUGGCAGUUAGUGCGUAGUGCCUAUUAACAAUGAACGUAAUCCAUAAAAUAGUCAGGGGUCCUGAAAUGAGAUAACCUUCACCUUAUCCAAUUAGUUAAACAACAGGACCCAAAAUGGAGUGUUUAGAAAGAUCCCAAGUGGAAUGUGAAAUAAAAGUACAUAAGGUGAGGGUACGUGAUGCACAUGUUUGGGCAUGUAUCCGUAAACCAUCCAGAAACCAUUUCAAAUUGAUCUGAAUGUUUGCGUGCUCGGCUCGAAUCGAAGAAGCUCCACACAUUCCAUGCAAAAUUUUUUGGACGUUUUAAAAGUUCAAAUGGACCCGGAUGGAAAACUCGCAACCAUCACCAUGGCAGGAUCAAGAUUAAGGUGCAAAGAAGAGACUGUUAUUUGAGUUUUAAUAUGUGUAGCGCUGAUGUUUCACUUAUGAGGGCCUCCAACAUACUACCACCUGACACGUUGCUUCCUUUUGGGGGUUUAAUUAAAGAAUAUAGUGACAACAGCCGAAAAAUCUGUGCAAUUUGUCCAGAUUCAGGACUGCUAUUGGCUCCCCCGCUAGCACGUAGCAACCCAAAAAAAUGUUCGAGAGGAUCCUGAUUAAUUCUGGUAGUCAUUAGGUACUCAAAUUUUAAUUCGUUGGUGCAGUAGUCAAGCAAAUUCAAAGUUGUGUUGAUAGUGGCUUUGAGCCCUUCAGCUGUCGAUUUCGUUAAAAAGUACUGAGGUUCAGAGCAAGAUUCCCACAAUUGUAAAUAAAUCAAGAAAUCUUCUAAGGCCGCCUGUUGCUGAGAAGAUUGCCUUAGGCCAUUAAAACGAUUACCUGAGUUUAAAAUAUCAGACAACUCAUUAAGGCGUCUACAAAAUUGGAUUGUUGGCUGGCAGUUGACAAAUUGUGGUACCUGUUUGUCUUUUAACGCCGUUAGGGCAUCUGCAACAGUACCGCUAAAUAAUUGAAAGGCAUAUUUAGUGGUCAUCUUUUCGUGCUGUUCUGGAUGUACAUGUUUCCGUGUCAAUUUGUAGGCGUAUUUAAAAUGGUUCUUGGCAUCAUAUUCCAACAAAUUCUCAAAAUCGGCCAAUCGAACACGCCCUUCAGGAACAUGGAAUUCUUUUUGGGCCACGAGACGAUUACGGAUGGAUGCACCAUGGAGCUUCUGGAUUCCCAGCAUUAAAUGAUUUCCACAUGGCCCUAUUCCAUGUAGCACCAUCAGCAGUGACUACAUCAACGUACAGCCCAGCUGCUUCACAGAGUGUCACCGCUUCCAGAACAAGUUUUGCUUGAAUUGUCCCUAACACACUGCCUCUGGACAGAAAACAUCCAACUGCUUGUACAUGCUUUCCUGCAAAUGAUUGGAACAUGAUUACAAGGGCAUGGUCACCAAGUUGAUCUUUUUGAGGUUCAGGUGUAUAGUCCCCUAGGUCUACAAAUCCCAUCACUUCCAACCGAUUCUUAUCAAAAUAUUUGCAAGGGGUAAUUUUGCACUCAUCCACCAUUAAUGUCCCAUGACAUUCCCGCUCAGGAAUAUUUUUUGUUUUUUCCUUCAAGGCUUUGAAUAACUGCGUUUGAAACCCAUAGGAACUGUCAAUAUUCCUGAUAUAGUUUGACAAUGUACUGGGCGACGGUAAAGGCAAUAAUUCCCUGCUUCUUAAAUGCCUGUAAAGUUUAGGGCUUUUAAUUUUUAUCAGAAGGCAAGUAUAAAUCCAGUCCUUGGUAUAUCGUUUUCCUCUAGGAGCUUUUCCUGCAGUCUCAAAGCAAGUUUUUACUGCCAGUUUCUGGUUUUCAGGUAACCUCGCAAUAAUGCCAUCGAUGUUUGGAACAGUUCCCAUGGCCGAUUUUAAUUUGGCACAUUUUUGUAGAUCCCUAAUCUUCUGACUUUGUUUAACUUGCUUUGUCAACAAGUACGAAUAUCGUUUUCGUUUACGCUCCUGUUUUACAAUCGGCUGUGUCGCUUUUUUCGGGUUUUUACAAUUUUUUUUUCGGAUUAAAGCACAUGCCCUACAUCUCUCUGACUUCAUUUGGGUGUUUUCGCCAGUGCAAAAAGGACUAAUUUUGCCGUCAACACCUGAACCAUUGCAUACUUUUAUGGAAUGUACUGAUUUAAUUAGUGUCACUAAUUCUUCCAAAGUACCAGGGAGAAAAUCUGGAGCGCGACAAAUAUUUUUGAUCAUCAGUUUAAUGUCUCCUUUACUGUCAAUAAUGAUGGUUUUAUCUAUUGCAGGGAUUGUGCCAGAAAUAUGACAUAUUGUGAUUUUAGAAAUCCCUGCAUGAAUUCCCCACUCUAUAGGAAGCAACCCAACUAAACUCAAAUCCAUAAGGUUGUAACCACUCCCUAGUGUAAAUUUUAAAAAAUUAUUCAGUGUAAAUCUGUCUUUUAGUAGCCUGGUGACAUAUCUGGUGACCUGUCAAUAUAAUGUCAGUUCAUUCAUGUAUUCGCGACACAUGAUUACGUUCGAUUUCAUUGCAAUUCUUGCACUCCUGCACAAGUUAUUUCAUAAUUAUCAUUGUAACUUGUCGCAAUAUUGUAAAAAUUGAUAAACAAUUUUCAAUAAAAACACGAUAACCUGAGUCUUCAUGGUAAUUACUAAUUAUGAUACAAGAGCAACGAUAAAUAGAAACGUGUUUUAUCUUUCAUCUGCAGAAAGAAGAAUGCCACCUACUGUAAUUUAGACUUGCAGUCGAUACGUUUACGAAUUACGAUAAAACGAACCCAAAAAUACGAGUCACGAAUGAAAUCAGAUAUUGGGCUGGUAAAAAAACAAGGUGAAUUGAUUUAUUUAUUGUUGCUGCUUUAUAAAAAUCGCUUUACAGAUGGGGAAUAACUGAAUACCUAAUUCAGAAUUUGUUUAAAUUAUUGUACAUGAGUGUACGGGAUAUAUGUGUGGCUAACCAUGAUAUGAUUUGACUCGAAGGACCAGCUCUCCCAACUGAAAUGAUCAAUCUCGCGAGCAACACCAAAAUUGUGUAUAAUAGGUAGAUAACUGUUCACCUUAAUUAGUCGCAACAGAUGACCAAUUUUUCAUAAAAAAAUGAGACACUAAGAAGUCUUUAAUGUUAUGUUUAAUAACUCUCAUUUGGAACUACUAAUUAUUUACAAAGUGUACAAGGAAUUUGAUUGAAGGUGAUAGGUGGAGGAGCAUAGCCACUAUGCUCCUCUGUCCUGAGGAUUUUAGUGAUAAUAAUGAACAAAAUGUAACUUCACAAAAUUCAGAGGCUAAAAUAAUAGGAGUGGUUAGAAACAUUGGGAACACAUAGACCAAAUAACCAAAAAGCAAAAAUUUUUCUGUUAACUUUCUUAAAUCUGAAUCCCAUGGAUUUUAAUACUCGAUGUAAAGUAUUUAAACUUGCUGUAUAUUCCAGAUGUUCUUUCGCAAAAAUAAAUAAAUCCCGAAUAGUAAAAAACUAUUUUUUUUUUGUUUUUGUCAAAUAUACGGUAGGUUAGAUCUUCGUUAAAUUCCAAAUUUGAAUACCACUGCGAUUUUUGUUUUGGUUUCCACUUUGCUUCUUGUAAAGGUUCUCCAGAUUGGGGUUGGGUUAGUUAUAAUUUUGUGGGCUUGACAUCGGGAACACUAUGGAAAGGAUAGGAAUAAAUGAGUUUACAAGGAAAGUUUCUGCAGUGUUUGAAUUUAAUGAGGGACAUUUAGUUGUAUUGUGUAGGAUAUAAAGAGUGGGUAUAAAACUUGAAAAGACAAUGUUAUACUAAAAAGCGAGAUAUACACUUUCAACUUGAGGUAGUUAAAACUGAAAGUCCUUCGACAGACCACCAUGUUGUAAUAACAUAAAAAAAGGUCCGAAUGUCGAUACGUUACUCUCAUAGUAUAGUACUCUUCCUUGAUGGUAUAAGAAUAACUACAUACUGAAAAGAUUUUUGCAAGCUUGAAUUCAAGUUCUCGGGAGGAUGCUUGGGGAUAAGCAAGUUUCAAUCCAUUGUGACAGUUGGCAAGUGCCAUUUUCAUCUGCUUAUUUAUCACAAUAUGCCGUGUUGGUACCAUUUUUCAAUGAUAUGGUUUAAUAACAAACUGUGAGAUAUUUAAAUAAAACUCGCUCGCGCGUGAUUGUCAAAUUUUGACACAUGCGCCGUUACCAAUCUGUUCAUGUAAAAAACACCAUUGGCUGUAAUGCCAACCUUACAAUUUAACGAGUGGUUACAAGCUUAUGGAUUUAACUGUAGUUGGUGCAAAUUUUCUCUCAAAACCUCAUAUAGUGUUGAAAUGGAGGAUGAGGGGAGGUUUGUUUCUAUUUGUGUAGGACUUUCAGAUGGUUCAGAGGCAGGGAUGUAGGUAUGUGAACCUUGAGAUCUAAAACAGAUUGUACCUAGUUAGUUUCAACAGUCUUUUGGUUACUUUUACACUUGUACGAAUUAAAUUUUAUACUGGAAUGCAUUGUUUUUAAGCACUAUAAACAGGAGAAAACAGACCUUGAUUUAAGAUAACAUUUUAACGGACGGACAGGAACUACAGGAGGAGACGGGGAUUUACUACUGGUUCCUAAGUUUUGAUAUGGAAUGGCAUCUGCCGUCAGAGUUCGUCUAAUUUUGCCAUUGUUCACAAAUUCACGUAUGAAAUGUUUCGCAAAAUGUCUCAUGCAAACAUGGUCAUUUUUUGACAAAAUUGUGCCCAAAGCCUCAUUCCAUGUUUGCAGUUUGUGUGUAUCCUGUAAAUCAAGUUUAAAAAUAUAACGUGUAAGGAAAAAAUA